UUUAUCGGAGAGUUUGAUCCUGGCUCAGGACGAACGCUGGCGGCGUGCCUAAUACAUGCAAGUCGAGCGGACAGAUGGGAGCUUGCUCCCUGAUGUUAGCGGCGGACGGGUGAGUAACACGUGGG
rnacentral:rRNA from 4 species